ensembl:lncRNA
CGCUGCUGAAACCCACAGCACUCUUCAUUAAAUAUUUGCCAAGAUGAAUUCUCCUGAGCCUUCUCAAUGUCCUGACAAAUUUACCAUCGCUCUGUUUGGAGAGAAAGCUGAUUUUGUGAGAAAGAUUGAUAAUAUAAUUCUCAAAGGAACCAACCCUGCAAUGACAAAUGUGAACAACUUUGUUGAGAGAGAGAAUGACUUGUACAGAAUCAUCAGCACUCCUGAUUUUUUUGAAAAAUGUCAUCAACACGACAAGCUGAUUAUUGAUUUCAUGGCACUUUCUGAUCCUGGGCCUGAUCUGUUCAUACUGGCAAUCGAUGCAGAAAACGACCAAGAAGAUAAUGUUCGGGCUCAAAUACUUAAACUUCAAGAUAUCUUUGGAGCCAAUGUCACACAAAGUUUAGUUAUAAUCUUAGAAAACCAAAAGAGCCGUGGUUUACUGGAGAAUGUGAAACAAAUGUUCUAUAUCCAGAUGGAAAUUGUAGAUGAAAAAUGGUGUUUAUGCCGCAAGUCAUUCCGGUUUGACUACAAAAGCUGCAGUAAGGAUGUUGUGGAACAGCGGAAAAAUGAUCUGAAACACACAAGAAACACAAAGGUUCUACCUUAUAAUCCUGGGAGCAAAGAAGCCAGGAAUCAAAGCACAUCCAUCUCAGAGCAGACUGCCCCACCAGCAGAGGCACCUGGACAGGACAAAGGAGCAACUAAUCAGAAUACACCCAGCUCAGAGCAGCCUACCACACCGGCAGAAAAAGCACAUGUACAAGACAAAGAAAACUUCUUUCUGCAGCAAAAAAUGAAACUUCAAAUCUGAGCAAGUACCGGGCACGCUGCCACGGGAAUGUGAAAUUCACAGAGAAACUCCGGAUCCCCCACUGACAUAACCACUGCAACCCCAGGCAAAACCUCCACCCACCCCACUCCUGCUAAACAGGUGAAAAUAGAUUUAAUGAAUCUUUGAUUUUAUUUAUUUACUGCUGUGUUUUACUUGCAUCUAUUUGAAAGAGUGAGUAUAAACACAAAACACUGUUUUUAUUUUAUAUGCUGGAAUAUGCAGCAAAUAUAGGUUUAAAUGUUAAACAAAUUCUUCAAGUCAAAGACUGUUGCCUAUAAUUUCAAUUUUUCUUGAUGCAUAAAGUUAAAAGAUUAAAACUAAUAAAACAAGUUUGAAAAAGAGACUUUUUUCAUCAUACUGGUUCGUGUAAUUUGAAAGAAUCUUAGUUUUCAUUUUGUUCAAAUUUAAAGAGGUUCUGGAAUUUGGGUUGCAUAUCUGUUGUGUUAUAUACAAUUCCCAAUGACAAAACCUUUUCAUACUUGUGUUUUUUAGUAAAUGUGUAGUCCAGAUUUGUAAGUAUUGAGGAACGUACAAUUAUCCUAUAUAAGCCACUUAAGGACAGCUACUCAUCUCUAUUUUUUAUGAUGUAGAAACCUUCUGAUAUUUAUAAUUAACUUACAUGAACAAACAUAUCUGUUUAUGAAUAACAGGUACGCGGAGGUUUCUGAACAUAUUGUUGUAAUAAGACAAAAGUAUGCAUUAUCCACUGUUCUUCAGGAGUCAGUACUCAAAGUACAUCCAGUUCAGAACAGACUGUCCCAACUGCAGAAGAAGCAACUGUACAAGAGAAGGGUAUGCUUCAGAAAUCCACAAAACAUUUUAUCUCAAAAUGACAGAAAAUGAGUCAAUUUAAAUAUCUGUACAUGACUAACACGUUUAUGACCAAUGUAAACAAAUUCCAGACAAUUUAAUGCUUUUGUUACAUUUUUAACACUUACUGUGUAAGCCAUUUAAAUGUUUUUAAUUAUAUGUAUAAAAUAUCUCUUUAUUUUAUUUAUAAAAUGACUGUGUGAAAACCUUAUGUGCAUGUGUAGCUAAUGUUACCAAACCUGCUUAGAAAUAACAAAUGUGCUGAGAUUCUGAACAUAUUGUACUGUGAUAGAAGUAUGUAUUAUCCACUUUUUCCUCAGGAGCAAAUAAUGAAAAUACACCCAGCUCAGAGCAGACUACCAAACCAGCAGAAAAGGCACUUGUGCAAGAAAAGGGAGUCAGUAAUCAAAGUACAUCCAGCUCAGAACAGACUGUCCUACCUGCAGAAGAAGCAGCUGUACAAGAAAAGGGAGCCAGGAAUCACAGUACAUCCAUCUCAGAGCAGACUGACCGGCCAAGAGGAAAAGGACCUGGAAGAAACAAGGGUGUGCUUCAGAAAACUACAUCUAAUUCUGAAAUUGAGAGGGGCAGUGAUGCAAAGGAAGACAUCAUAUUUAACAUCAUUCUGCUGGGACAAACUGGGACUGGGAAGAGUGCGACUGCAAACACCAUCCUGGCUGCUGGGAAGCACCACAAGGACAAAGGCCAGGGUUUUGAAGCCAAGCCAAGCUCCAUACCAAUCACCACCAAGUGUAAGGACAAAAUAAUCGAGAUAUGUGGAACAAAAGUUAGACUGGUCGACACCCCAGACUUCUUUUAUGAAGAUAAACCUAUAGAGGAGGCACAAGUAGAAGAGUGUAAGAGGUACUGUCAGGAAGGGCAGUGUGUAGUGUUACUUGUGAUACAGUUGGGCAGGUUCACAGAUGGUGAAAUAGGAAUAUUAGAGAAACUGGAAGACAAGCUUGGCUGGAAAAUCAGGAAAAACACAAUUGUCCUAUUUACACAUGGAGAUGAUUUGAAAGGCACAGUGGAUCAGUUUAUCGGCAACAGGAGUUGUCUCAAGCACAUUGUGAAAUCUUGUAACAAUCGUUACCAUGUAUUCAAUAACAACUCCAAGGAUACUAAACAAGUCAGGGAGCUCUUUGAUAAAUUUCGUGAAGAAAGCUUUUUAAACUCAAAACCACAUUCACAGUGCCCUUUAUUCUAGCUACUGCUGAUUCAGGGGUGUGAAGUGCAAUUUUCUGCUGGCAUGUGAACUAAUUUUACAUUAAACCUAGAUAUCAUGAUUUGCCAUUUUGUUUCAUCUUGAAUAUUUAGCCAAACUGAAAGGACAUUAGUAAACAAUUUAUAAUUUUUCAUCAGACUGCCAAAGUUGGUGAUACAACCUCUAGCUCUUAUGUAUGUAUAUGAAAUAGUGCAGUCAGUUAUAAAGACUAACUUUAAAAGACUUAGAAACAUGCUGAGGAGAGCUUGCUGUGAAAUUAAAGUGGUUCCUAAGCAACAUACAGAUUAAAUGUUUAUGAAUAAAUUGAAUACAUUUUUGAUUUUAUUUACUUAUUUUUUUCUGUGACUGAUGUUUGGACAACACAAAAGACUUCAAACAGGAAAUGCAGUGAAAAAUAAAUUAUACAACACACUCACAUAGCCUUAACACAUGUUAAAGCUAUAAUAUAUUCUACUUAUUCCAUUACUGGCUCAUUAGUGUGUUCUCGAGUUUUUGCUGAAAUGCGCAUUGGGGAAGUGAAAACAAACUGAAAAAAUAGAAGCUUCAAACUUCUACUUUCCACUGUAUCAUCAUAUGAAAAGUUGCAGCUUUUUAUGUUUGGAGCCUGAUAAUUCAAAUUUCAUUAGAUCUGACUGUUAUCCCUUCCAUAUGGCGUGUAUUUAUAUAGCGCUUUUCUAGUCCCUAAGGACCCCAAAGCACUUUACAUAUCCAGUCAUCCACCCAUUCACACACACAUUCACACACUGGUGAUGGCAAGCUACAUUGUAGCCACAGCCACCCUGGGGCGCACUGACAGAGGCGAGGCUGCCGGACACUGGCGCCACCGAGCCCACUGACAACCAACCAGUAGGCAACGGGUGAAGUGUCUUGCCCAAGGACACAACGACCGAGACUGUCCAAGCUGGGGCUCGAACCGGCAACCUUCCAAUUACAAGGCGAACUCCCAACUCUUGAGCCACGAUCACCCCAAUAUCACAUCUACCUCAGUGCUUUUUCUCUAGCUCAGUGAAUUCCUCUCUAGUCCCUAAAUGGAUCUUUCAGGCCAAAGCCGCCUUCUAAAAAUGCAUGGGCAUCUGGUAUUCUAAUGAUAGCUUGUUUUACAAAACAAUAAAUGUACCAAUAGCAUACAGAAUAAAUAGGCUAAACACAAAUAAAAGUUAUUAUUCAGAGGACAAAGGUGACACGUGGCCGUUUGUAAUUUGCAGGUGUUUGUCAAUUUAAACAUACAUUCAGUUUCUCCUCUGAAUGUGCAAUGAAUGUAAUAUUGUAGAAAAAAAGUCAUCAAUAUAUACAUUAUCAUUUGGCAUUAAUUUUCUCACUGUUCUUUUUUUUUCUUGUUUCUGUGCAAUAAACUGCCACUGCUACCUGUACUCUUGCUCAUGAACACAUUCAUUUAUGAUUACUACUACCAUCAGUGAAAAGGUACUGUUAACCGUACUGCUUUAUUUUGCAAUGGACAUGUAACUGUGUAUGAAUAUUUUGCUAAAACUGUCAGAAGGAGUGCCUGAACUAGAAAAAAGAAUGUUUGCAAAAGUUAAUCAAACAUCACAUCAUCAGCUAGCUAUAAAAUAAUAGACCAUUAUUAGCCAACACUUUAAAGUCUUUGUUAUAUUUGUCAGAAAGCAAUGGUUGAAAUUAUGUUUUUUUACCUAAUAAAAAAUGUUGCAUAAACAGCU